AACGAACGCUGGCGGCAUGCCUAACACAUGCAAGUCGAACGAUGCUUUCGGGCAUAGUGGCGCACGGGUGCGGAACGCGGGGGAAUCUGCCCUUGGGUUCGGAAUAACAGUGAGAAAUUGCUGCUAAUACAGGAUGAUGUCUUCGGACCAAAGAUUUAUCGCCCAGGGAUGAGCCCGCGUAGGAUUAGCUAGUUGGUGGGGUAAUGGCCUACCAAGGCGACGAUGCUUAGCUGGUCGGAGAGGAUGAUCAGCCACACUGGGACUGAGACACGGCCCAGACUCCUACGGGAGGCAGCAGUGGGGAAUAUUGGACAAUGGGCGCAAGCCUGAUCCAGCAAUGCCGCGUGAGUGAUGAAGGCCUUAGGGUUGUAAAGCUCUUUUACCCGGGAUGAUAAUGACAGUACCGGGAGAAUAAGCUCCGGCUAACUCCGUG
rnacentral:rRNA from 1 species